AUUGAACGCUGGCGGCAUGCCUUACACAUGCAAGUCGAACGGUAACAGGCCGCAAGGUGCUGACGAGUGGCGAACGGGUGAGUAAUGCAUCGGAACGUGCCCAGUCGUGGGGGAUAACGCAGCGAAAGCUGCGCUAAUACCGCAUACGAUCUCUGGAUGAAAGCGGGGGAGCGAAAGGCCUCGCGCGAUUGGAGCGGCCGAUGUCAGAUUAGGUAGUUGGUGGGGUAAAGGCCCACCAAGCCAACGAUCUGUAGCUGGUCUGAGAGGACGACCAGCCACACUGGGACUGAGACACGGCCCAGACUCCUACGGGAGGCAGCAGUGGGGAAUUUUGGACAAUGGGCGCAAGCCUGAUCCAGCAAUGCCGCGUGCAGGAAGAAGGCCUUCGGGUUGUAAACUGCUUUUGUACGGAACGAAACGGUCCUGGUUAAUACCUGGGGCUAAUGACGGUACCGUAAGAAUAAGCACCGGCUAACUACGUGCCAGCCGCCGCCGUAAAAC
rnacentral:rRNA from 1 species